UUCUAGCAGAGACAGGGUUUCAGCAUGUUGGCCAGGCUGGUCUCAAACUCCUGACUUCAGGUGAUCUGCCCACCUUGGCUUCCCAAAAUGCUGAGAUUACAGCUAUGAGUCACUGUGCCCGGCUGAUAAUUUCAUAGAUUAUCAGCUACCCUGCACAUAUUCACGUAUUGCUGGUCAGCUGACAAGAAAGAGUCUUAUCUUACUGGCCAAGAAUUUAGUCGGCAUCUUUGAUCCCAUCAGCAGUUUUGCACUUGAUAUUUGAGUACUUUCAAAAUGCUAGGAGGCUUUGAUAUUUUCUUUCAUCUCAAAAUGAAAAUGAAACAUGGUCCAAAAAGUUUACACUAAGACCAAAUGGCCAGUGCAAUUUGGACAGAGUUAACACUGUCCUUUUGGAUUUUCAGAAAGAGAGCAAGUAACCUUUAUGGAGACUGAAACCACAGCCGUUUCCAUGGAAGGUUGGGGCCGGAAGCCCUAUUUUCAAUUUGCUCACACGGAGGCUCUUCAUGGGCAGGCCAGACUGCUGUGGAAGAAACACACGGCAGGGAUGUAUCUGAACACUCCCGGCCUGUGAAACAGACCAAGAAGUCCCCUUGGAGAAAGAGGGGCCUCUGUGAGCCCUGAGAGAUGCUGGAGCCCGAGGAAGACGUGGGAGGAGGCACUAAGCAGUGUCCCAGGAAGUCACAUAAAGAAAACAGCAUUGGCUGUGCUGCUCCAAAUCUGUGUCUGGGAGUUUGGGCCAGGGCGAGAGGGUUGCAGGCUCUGAGCGAGGUUUAGGAAGCAGGAAAGAGGAGUGGACCUGCUGGAAGCCAGAGGACAAGGUUGGCGGGGUACAAGGAAAGGGGUCCACCAAGGGCAGCCUGGGAGGACCCGCCUUGAUCAUGAAAAAAAUGAGCAAAGGGGCACAAAUGUCUUUUCAAAAAAGAUGCCUAAGGUUGGCCUCAGCAAAGUCCCCUGAAGCAUCCCCUGCUUGCUUUCCCUGAAGAGCUGGACUCUGCGUGUGGGGUGGGGCAUCCAGACUGUGGCCUUCCUUUUGAGCUUUCCCCACCUGAGUCAUCUGCAGAGGGCAAGGCUGUAGGUGGGAGGGACCAGUGUGACGUGUGACCGCCAGCCACGGUCCCCACACCCCUCUCUGAGGGCUGUCCCCUCCACCCCAUGCCAUGACAGGAAACUUUAUGACCUGUUCACCAAAAAGUCACUUCAGGAUGGGAAAGCACCUGUCUAUAAAAAAAGGCAAGGGGGCUGCCAUUUUAAAAUUGGGGGUGAGACUGGCUGUGUGCUCUCGAGUGGGCAGGGACCCACAGUAACUCAGAGGCAGGGCAGGUCAGGAGCUGUACGUGAGCAGAGGCCCGGGAGCUUGGAGGCCGGCCAGUGCUGGUGGGCCGCCCUGAGGACAGGGUAUUUGAGACACAGAACAACAGACAUAAGCAAGGUUAUGAUAAAGCUGCAAACUGUUUUCCUGUUUUCAUGGGGGCAUAAAGUGAAAGCAGCACUGAAUUAAACUCUCGAAGUGGGAGGAGAGAUCACUGUUGAGGCGGGAGAGGGGAUUUGGAAACGUCUGCAUUAGGACUCAGCUGUGUUUGCAGCCAAGGCGAGGUGGUUCUCCAAGUGAAUGCCCCUUUCUCACGGCCCCGCCUCUGUUCGACCCACCCUGCCUCUUCCCCCACACCCAAACCAGCCUCCUUCUGCUGCCAGAUCAUCCUCGGAGCCAGAGAUCGCCUCUGGUUUGGACAGUAAACAUUUGUUGUGCACUUUCUACUACAGAGCCAAGUAUCAGGUUAGGUUCCGGGAAGAUGAGAAAGGACUAAACAGUGUUCCAGCCUCCGAGGACAUCAUGUGACUCCACUGAUAAUAAAUGAUGGUCCUGGAAAAAGUUCCAACUCCUCUUCUGUAUGGCUCCAGCCCAAUGGCUCUGUCCCUUGCCCCUUCUCUGUCUGGGCUGGUCCCUCCGGUAACUGUCUUACGGGUCUUCUCUCUCCGCACGGUCGCUCAUGCAGGCCCUUCCGCAUGCUGCAGCCUUGAUGAUUCUCAGCUCAGCAGCCCUUUGCUUGAGCUUUUGGGUUUAACCUCCAUCCUCUUCCUGUUGUCUGUGUCUCUGCGUCAUCAGACAUCUAAAUUUAAGUCUACUAUCUGUGUGAUCUUAGACAAGUGUCUAGUGGAAUAUUAGGCAGGUUUCUAAAUCUCUUUGUCCUCGAUUCCCCAUCUGUGAAAAGAAGGUAAUGGCUUCUGCUUUGCCCACGGCUUACAGUUGUUCUAAAAAUCAAAUCGCAUGAUAAAUAAAUUU